rnacentral:rRNA from 1 species
UAACGCGUGGGUAACCUGCCUUAUACAGGGGGAUAACAGUCAGAAAUGGCUGCUAAUACCGCAUAAGCGCACAGAGCUGCAUGGCUCAGUGUGAAAAACUCCGGUGGUAUAAGAUGGACCCGCGUUGGAUUAGCCAGUUGGCAGGGUAACGGCCUACCAAAGCGACGAUCCAUAGCCGGCCUGAGAGGGUGGACGGCCACAUUGGGACUGAGACACGGCCCAG